rnacentral:rRNA from 1 species
ACAGGUGCUGCAUGGCUGUCGUCAGCUCGUGCCGUGAGAUGUUGGGUUAAGUCCCGCAACGAGCGCAACCCUUGUCCUUAGUUGCCAGCAUUCAGUUGGGCACUCUAAGGAGACUGCCGGUGUUAGACCGGAGGAAGUGGGGAUGACGUCAAGUCCUCAUGGCCCUUAUGUCCAGGGCUACACACGUGCUACAAUGGCCGGUACAAAGGGCUGCAAGACCGUGAGGUUGAGCGAAUCCCAGAAAGCCGGUCUCAGUUCGGAUUGGAGUCUGCAACUCGACUCCAUGAAGUUGGAAUCGCUAGUAAUCGCGGAUCAGCAUGCCGCGGUGAAUACGUUCCCGGGCCUU